rnacentral:rRNA from 1 species
UACCCGCAGCACAAGUGGUGGUCAUUAUUAUUGGGCCUAAAGCGUCCGUAGCUGGCUUGUUAGAUGCCUGGGUAAAUCGAUGCGCUCAACGUAUCGAAUUCCGGGUAGACCGGCAAGCUCGAGACCGGGAGAGGUGUAGGCUACUCGAGGGGUAGGGGUAAAAUCCUGUAAUCCUUCGGGGAGGACCAGUGGCGAAGGCGCUACACUAGAACGGCUCCGACAGUGAGGGACGAAGCCCUGGGGCGCAAACCGG